AAAGAUUCUCAACUCGUGUCUCAGUGUUGUUGCUCCAGAAGAGGUAAACUCUCCUGCGAGUAUUAGGAGCUACUGGUCACUCAAAAAUAGUGAGCAUUUGACUCUAUAUUUCUUUUAGUACUCUGUUUGGGGUUUUGUAUCUCAUUCAGUGCCAUUUUGAUCUCUCCACAUUAGCGUCUUGCUAUGUUUCUCAUGUUUCUUUUCGAGUUUCAUUUAAAUUGUUAUAGUUGUUGAUGUUAUAUUUAUGUUGUCUGCUCAAAAUUCUUAGAUUAAUAUUGAAAUCAUGCUCUCGAAUCCAUGAUUAAGACCUUGGCCGAGUCGUAUGUUUUUAAUUGUUCUUCGCUUUGAAUCUGCAUAGCUGAAUAUAUGUUGAAUUCGAUUUGCUUGUUCCUUGUUUUGUUUUCAACAUGCUCCUUUGUUUGGAUUGUUUAAUACUUUGACUAGAUUGUAUCCCUUUCCCUUUGUAACUCUAUAUAUUUUAGCUCAUCUUGCCAUAGUUUAACUAAUUAUUUGAGGAUUCACUAUUGGCUAUUCAAAUCUUAUCUUUGUUGUUUGUGUUUUGCAUCCACUGAAAGAGUCAUUAGUGGGGCACCUUAUUUCGACUUUGCUCCUUGAGAUCUCUUUAAGAAAGUUAAAAUAUGCAUUUCCUAGAGUUUUUAGUUUUAUACUUAAGCUUAAUAUAUAUCCUUUAAGAUCUUAACUUUUCUGUUUUGUUGGUGUUAAGUUCCUUUAAAUGUUUUCCCUUGUGUUAAAAAGUUAUCAAAACAUUCUAGUGCUUUCAUAUCUCUGAAUGAUGUUAUGAGGCUAUGCCAAUGAACCCCCUGUUUGGUUAUUAUCUUAGGAGAUUUGGUGUCUAAGUUAUUAGUAGUUGUAUUGUCAUCUACUAAGUUUAGUAACUCCAAUUUGCUCUCUGUUAUAAUGAGUUUCGAAAGAAA
rnacentral:misc_RNA from 1 species